GAUUGAUUGGACAUGAGGGGUGAAGGAGAGGUUGGAGUCAAAGAGGAGCGAGCCUUAGCGGUAGAGCGGAUGGUAGCGCCAUUGACUUGGAGGGACACAGACUAGGGAGUAGCAACACUUGAGGGAGGGAAGACCAGAAGUUCUAUUUUGCACAAGUUCAGUUAAAGGAAAUGAGCAGCCAUCUAGUUGGAAAUAGCAGAGAGGCAUUCAAAGACACGAGUCAAGAGGGGUGGUGAGAAAUCAGGGCAGGACAGAUUUGUGUGUCAUCCACAUAGAUAUGAUACUGGAAGCCAAAGGAGUUGAUGAGUUUACGAAGGGAAGCAGUGUAGAUUUAGAUCAAUUGGGGACCAAGGACAGACCCAUGGGGAACACCAACAGUGAGGGAUUGGAGUAAAGUAGAGGCAGAGCCAGAGAAAGAAACACUGAAUGAGCGCUGGGAGAGUACCAGGAGAGAGUGGUAUCUCGUAGACCGAGAUUAUGGAGGAUGAGAAGAAGCUGUUGAUGAUCAACAGUGCCAAAAGCAGCAGAAAGGUUGAGAAUUAGGUAGUGGCCAUGGGAUUUUGCAGUGAUAAGAUCAUUGGAUACUUUGGGAACAGCUGUUUCAACAGAGUGACGAUCGCGGAAUCCAGAUUGAAGCGGCUCAAGCAGAGAUUCUGGACUCAAGGAAGUUUGUCAAUCUCACAUACACAACUUGGUCAAGCAUCUUGGAAACAAAUGGCAGUAGUGAGAAAGGGCGGUCGUUUAACU